rnacentral:pre_miRNA from 14 species
GGCCAUUGUGACUGACAGGCUGCCCUGGCUCAGUUAUCACAGUGCUGAUGCUGUCUACUCUAAAGGUACAGUACUGUGAUAACUGAAGGAUGGUAGCCAUCUUAACUUCAGCUUUUC